rnacentral:rRNA from 1 species
GAUGAACGCUGGCGGCGUGCCUAAUACAUGCAAGUCGAGCGAACGGACGAGAAGCUUGCUUCUCUGAUGUUAGCGGCGGACGGGUGAGUAACACGUGGAUAACCUACCUAUAAGACUGGGAUAACUUCGGGAAACCGGAUCUAAUACCGGAUGAUAUUUUGAACCGCAUGGUUCAAAAGUGAAAGACGGUCUUGCUGUCACUUAUAGAUGGAUCCGCGCUGCAUUAGCUAGUUGGUAAGGUAACGGCUUACCAAGGCAACAAUGCAUAGCCGACCUGAGAGGGUGAUCGGCCACACUGGAACUGAGACACGGUCCAGACUCCUACGGGAGGCAGCAGUAGGGAAUCUUCCGCAAUGGGCGAAAGCCUGACGGAGCAACGCCGCGUGAGUGAUGAAGGUCUUCGGAUCGUAAAACUCUGUUAUUAGGGAAGAACAUAUGUGUAAGUAACUGUGCACAUCUUGACGGUACCUAAUCAGAAAGCCACGGCUAACUACGUG